GAAGAAGAAGCCCAAUUAGCCGUCUCCAUGGAUAUCCUCCCCUCGCCCUCUCCUUUUAAAGCCAUUGCCAUCCCCCUACGUCUCUUCCAUCAUCAUCAUCUUCUUCUUCUUUUUCUCUCGUCUGUUGGAGGGAGAGACAGACGAGGUUUCGCAGAUGAGACACAAACCCAUGUUGUCUCCACAAGUCAUCUCUUGCACCAUUUCCUCGAAGGCAAUUCGAUAUAAUUAGCUACUCAUGGAAGCAGGGCAAGGCCAAGUCGAUGCCAGGCGUGAAUUUGGCAUCAACAACCGGUCAUGCAAGUGCCCAUCAUCGGUGAAUGAAACCAGUGACGACAAAGAAUCGUCCGGAGACAGAACCCUAACGGGAGCCAUGUGCUCCUCAAAUGGCUCCUCAAAUGUUGCCGCUUCUUCAUGCUGAUCGGGCGCUAUCCUACCUGAGCUUUUUUCACUACACUUCCCUUCUCUCAUUUUCACCUCUGCUCCAUCUCGCUUUUCUUUCUUCUUGACCUUGUAAGACCUUUUCUUGACCUUGUAAGACCCCCUCCCGUCAUCGCUUUCUUUCUUCUCCCCCCGGACUAGGGUUCCAUAUGUUGACUACCGGAACCGGGUCCGGGAGUCCUUCUUUUCCGUUCCCGCCCAACUCACCUUCUCCUUCCUUGUCUAUCCCUCUUGAGCUAUACCGAGAGUCGGGUUACAUGCCUCUGCAUUAACUCGACUCCCUCAACUCUCCUCGAGCAAGCCAAACCCCAACUUUUCCGACCUCAAACCGAGCUUAGUACUAUAAUUACCUCCUCAUGACCCAAUUAUGCAACCGAAUUAUUGAGAGACAUGAGAAAGAAUGUGCGUGUUUAUGUAAAGGGAGAGAGAGAGAAGUAGUACUUGUCCAGUGAUUUUAUCAGAACAGUGUACGUAAUAAAAGACCGUUGUUGUUAUUCUGAAACAUAUUCAAUACUAUUGCUUUGGGGUCCUGUCAGGGCAAUCGAUUACA